rnacentral:rRNA from 1 species
GAUGAACGCUGGCGGCGUGCCUAAUACAUGCAAGUCGAGCGAACGGACGAGAAGCUUGCUUCUCUGAUGUUAGCGGCGGACGGGUGAGUAACACGUGGAUAACCUACCUAUAAGACUGGGAUAACUUCGGGAAACCGGAGCUAAUACCGGAUAAUAUUUUGAACCGCAUGGUUCAAAAGUGAAAGACGGUCUUGCUGUCACUUAUAGAUGGAUCCGCGCUGCAUUAGCUAGUUGGUAAGGUAACGGCUUACCAAGGCAACGAUGCAUAGCCGACCUGAGAGGGUGAUCGGCCACACUGGAACUGAGACACGGUCCAGACUCCUACGGGAGGCAGCAGUAGGGAAUCUUCCGCAAUGGGCGAAAGCCUGACGGAGCAACGCCGCGUGAGUGAUGAAGGUCUUCGGAUCGUAAAACUCUGUUAUUAGGGAAGAACAUAUGUGUAAGUAACUGUGCACAUCUUGACGGUACCUAAUCAGAAAGCCACGGCUAACUACGUGCCAGCAGCCGCGGUAAUACGUAGGUGGCAAGCGUUAUCCGGAAUUAUUGGGCGUAAAGCGCGCGUAGGCGGUUUUUUAAGUCUGAUGUGAAAGCCCACGGCUCAACCGUGGAGGGUCAUUGGAAACUGGAAAACUUGAGUGCAGAAGAGGAAAGUGGAAUUCCAUGUGUAGCGGUGAAAUGCGCAGAGAUAUGGAGGAACACCAGUGGCGAAGGCGACUUUCUGGUCUGUAACUGACGCUGAUGUGCGAAAGCGUGGGGAUCAAACAGGAUUAGAUACCCUGGUAGUCCACGCCGUAAACGAUGAGUGCUAAGUGUUAGGGGUUUCCGCCCCUUAGUGCUGCAGCUAACGCAUUAAGCACUCCGCCUGGGGAGUACGACCGCAAGGUUGAAACUCAAAGGAAUUGACGGGGACCCGCACAAGCGGUGGAGCAUGUGGUUUAAUUCGAAGCAACGCGAAGAACCUUACCAAAUCUUGACAUCCUUUGACAACUCUAGAGAUAGAGCCUUCCCCUUCGGGGGACAAAGUGACAGGUGGUGCAUGGUUGUCGUCAGCUUGUGUCGUGAGAUGUUGGGUUAAGUCCCGCAACGAGCGCAACCCUUAAGCUUAGUUGCCAUCAUUAAGUUGGGCACUCUAAGUUGACUGCCGGUGACAAACCGGAGGAAGGUGGGGAUGACGUCAAAUCAUCAUGCCCCUUAUGAUUUGGGCUACACACGUGCUACAAUGGACAAUACAAAGGGCAGCGAAACCGCGAGGUCAAGCAAAUCCCAUAAAGUUGUUCUCAGUUCGGAUUGUAGUCUGCAACUCGACUACAUGAAGCUGGAAUCGCUAGUAAUCGUAGAUCAGCAUGCUACGGUGAAUACGUUCCCGGGUCU